rnacentral:lncRNA from 1 species
AUUCCCCUAUAUAUCCCCUAUACACCCCAUUACCCACGUCAUGCAGCUGACGGCAGCCUGUCCGUGGAACCCCCAUAACCCCAUUACCCCCCAUAACCCAUACACCCCAUUUAACCCCAUUUACACCCCAUAACCCCAUAGACCCCAUGACAACCCAAUAACCCCAUAUACCCCAUUUACACCCCAUAAAACCCCAUAUAAUCCCCCUAUCAUCCCCAUCAUAUCCCCAUAUAUCCCCUAUUAUCCCCUAUCCCCAUUACCACGUAUGCGCUGACGGCAGCCUGUUCCGUGGACCCCCAUAACCCCAUACACCCCAUAUAUCCCCUAUAAUCCCCCAUAACCCCAUAUACCCCAUAACCCCAUAUAUCCCUAUAUCCCCAUAUAUCCCCCAUAUAUCCCCAUAUAUCCCCUGUAUACACCCCAUUACCACUAUGCGGCUGGACGGGCAGCCUGUCCUGGACCCCAUAACCCCACGUACCCCCCAUAAAACCCCAUACACCCCAUAACCCCAUACACCCCAUAAACCCCAUAUACCCAUACACCCCAGAACCCCCAUAUACCCCAUACACCCAUAACCCCAUAUAAUCCCCUAUAUCCCCAUAUAUUUCCCCAUAUAUCCCUAGAUUCCCCUGAUCCCCCAUUGACCACGUAUCGCUACUGGCAGCCUGUCCGUGGACCCAACCAUAACCCCAUACACCCAUAACCCCAUACUACCCCAUAACCGCCAUUACACCCCAUAACCCCAUCACCCCAUAACCCCAUACACCCCAUAAACCCCAUAUAUCCCCUGAUAUAUCCCAAUAGUCCCCCAUUACCACGUAUGCGCUGACGGCAGCCUGUCCGUGGACCCUGUCAUCCCGGUGGAUCUGAACUUCUGGAUUCCCGUUUCAUCCCCUCGAGGGCAGCGAAUCCCUGCAGCGGAACCUUGGGACGUGCCCGUCAACAAACUGCAGGAACUUGCAGCGGUCAGCCUGGUCAAAGGAGCGCAGGCGCGCCAGGAAACAUGGAAUCUAUAUAGGGUUAAAUAAUAGGAAUAGGGUAAAGGGGCGAUAUAGGAUAUAGAUAAUAGGGGGGGAUAUAGGAUUAAAGGGGGGAUAUAGGAUAAAGGGGGAUAUAGGGAUAAAAGGGGCAUCAUAGGAUAAGGGGGAUAUGGGAUAAAGGGAUGAGGACUAUAGGAUAAAGGAUUAUAGGGGGGGAC